UACGUAGGGUGCGAGCGUUAAUCGGAAUUACUGGGCGUAAAGCGUGCGCAGGCGGUUAUUUAAGUCAGGUGUGAAAGCCCUGGGCUUAACCUAGGAAUUGCGCUUGAGACUGGAUAGCUUGGAGUGCGGCAGAGGGAGGUGGAAUUCCACGUGUAGCAGUGAAAUGCGUAGAGAUGUGGAGGAACACCGAUGGCGAAGGCGGCAUCCUGGACCAACACUGACGCUGAGUGAGCGAAAGCCAGGGGAGCAAACGGG
rnacentral:rRNA from 1 species